rnacentral:lncRNA from 1 species
UCCACCCUCUUAAAGCAAAUGAUGGAUACCUUAGGCUGUGUUUGAGGGUUAAGUUGUUUCACUUGCGCAGCCCGAUAAAAACACUUUUUUGCAAGGGCAAAUAUAUAUAUAUAUUGGAAAUCUGGUUUGAAAUAAAUGCUUCACUUUAUGUCCUCCAAACCCACAUAGCCUAACUUGAGCAGGGAAUGAUACUCUCUUGGAAAGAUGGAAGGGUUUAGCCCUCCAUUUCUUCUUCCAACUUACACCACUUAGUCUAGUUACCUUGGCUGUUUUUCGUGAACCUGAGUAACGAAUGCGGCUUUUGAUAUCCAUAUAAAACUUUUCACAGUUCUUGUGGACAUUUACUAAAGGGUCUUGCACUUAGCCCAAUGAUUCAGAACCCAGCUGUCUAAAAAGCAAUGACUUCAGAGCUAGACCGUUUUGAAAACCAGACAGCUAAAUCAACUUGGCCUAAAUUGUAAAUUUGAUUGGAAAGAACUGUCAGAUAUCUCCUCUUCAGAUGCAGUCCCCUUAUUCUUUCUUCUUAUUCCAUUUUUUUUUCCUUCCUGAUAAGUGUGCUGUCGAAUCUCCUCAUGUUUGUAUCAAUUGGAGACGCCUCACAUGAAAGGAAUAGGCAUGCCUUAUGAAGAAAGGCUGCCACUCUCCUCACACCUUCAAUGUGGGAGUAGGCCACAAAUUCCACCGUGGAGAAGACACAUUUAGAGCAAGAGAAGCCACAUUUAGAGAGAGAGAGAGAUUUAGAUUUUAAUUUCUAUAUAUCAUAGUUUGUCUUGGUGUUUUUCCUUUUCAUUAUCUUCUUUCAUGAGUAACACAGAUAUGGGAUUCAUGAUUCAUUAAUUUCUUUACAAUUAGGAAAUGCGUGCAUAAAGAUAUGACCCACAAACCCAAAAUAUUGACAUCAAAAAACCCUGUCUAAAAACUAAAAAUUAAGUCCAAGUCUGAGACAGAACAACCUUAUCAAAAGUUUAACUCAAUGCUAUCAAUAUAUAAUAUCUAAGCCGGGAGUAUGCAAAUACCCGAGCAAUGUUGACAGGUCAAAUCAAAAAUCAUGUUCCUAGAGCAACCUCACCUGAAUGUCCACAGAAGAUGUGAUGCUGGAGCAAAAAUCCGAACGAUCAGACAUCCUCUCCAAUGUUCAUGUGAUCUGUCUUAAAAACAUCUUCUUAGCAGUGUCCAUUUCAUUAACAUCCUGCGAAAAUCGCAAGAGAUGAAAAAAAAGAAAAAAAGAUCGUUCACAAACAACACCGCCAAUUAUUCUUAUUCUCCAGAAUGCAGCACUGCAAAGAAUCCCACUUUGGGGAUUCAGCUCAGGAAGUGGAUGACCACAGCUGCAAAUUUCAGCAUCUUUCUGUUGUAGCAUUCCAUCAGCCACAAACUGAUCAUCCUCUGGGAAAAAAAUUUCUGGCAAUUUCAAAUGAUUUAUCCUUUGAAGAGUUCAACUGUUCACACAGGUCGUCAAGUUUCUGCUGCAUGUUUAGUAGCACUUGGUCCUCCAUGAUCAAAUGGUACCAAGUAAAAAUACCUAAUAUAUCCUAUCAACCUGGACUCCUUGUAGAACCCACAUGUACUAACUCUUCACUCCUUGUAAAUAGUAUGUAAAUAUUUUCUUUUUUAAUAACAGUCAGGUGGGCCUCCCUCCUGUUUCAUCAAAAAAACUACCUAAUAUCUAUCGAAUUCUUUGGGCAUAAACAAAACUAAAGUCUAAAAGGAAGCCCUGCAAUCAUAAAAUGAAACAACUAAGAGCAAAAUCCUGACAGAACAAAACCUAUUCAAGUUAAAAAGUUCUCUAGAAGAUCAUUUCCAUACUAAAUUGAUAUAUCUGAGUAAAGGUUAAUGUGUGGGCCUUAUUUCAAACUCUCCCUGAUUCUGGAAAAAUUAUUAAAAAGCUGGUCUUAACACAGAUUUUUUUAUAUAAAAAUCCCAGCAGCCUUGCCAAUGAAUCAUUCAGAAGAGUUGAUUAUUUUCCGCAAACACUGAAAACAACAAACUUCUCAAAAAUUUCUAUUUAAUAUUUUACCAGAAAAAAGUUUUUCAUUUAAUCACUAAGUGACUGAUUUAGAGCGAGUUAAAAACAUGUGUUUGAUUAAAAAGAAAAAUCUUUUAACCCAGCAUCGGCAAAGAAGCUUUGAGGACAAUAAACAUCUAGUUCUACUCGACCUAACACUAAUUCAUAGAUAAAAGAUAACCUAGAACUGUAAAAGAAAUUUUUUUCCUUUUCUUUUCCGCAAAGAACCAUACCUCUUCCUGUUUUCCAUCUUUUUUUAAAAAACCAUUAAAAGACAUAAUUUUUGGUAACCCGGAAUAGAUUAAAAGAAAAUAGCAGCAAAAAUAAAAAUAAAAAGUAAAGAGACCUCGGCAGUCCUAAUGAAAGACGCCAUGGGAUUCUAUUUCGAUAACACUAAACCUCCGAAGAAUACGAAAUAAAUGAGAAGUAUAUAGACCAUAUAAUGGAAAAGGAAGAGGAAUUAUACAAAUAUAAUCGCACGAUCCGGUGUAUUCACCAAACCAGGGCUUCCAAAUCUCCAAAUAAAUCCCAAGGAAACUUUAUUAAAGAAGGAGAUUUUUUGAAUAAAAACUGACCCUGAGAUCAACGGAUCGCUUCUACUGAGAUAUCCUCUGAGGUCUCUUGGACUCGGCGGCGACGGCGGCAACGAUGGCGACGAUGAGGACGCGAUGGAGGGGGCUGAAGAGCCUCCAAGCCGCGGCCUCCUUUGGGCUCAAGCCCCGGCCGACGGCUCUCGCGGGCGUGGCCUCCUGGACGCCGACCGGCCGGCCCCUGUAGGGAGACCCAGGCCAGCGUCCUCCUCGCCAAGGGGACCGCCCGGCUUAGCUCGCUGAAGCAGCUCGAGAGCCGGCGGAGGGAUAGAGAUGGGUGGGGCAAGAAGGAGGCGAGAGAGACGAGAGAAGGAAGCGAGGGAGUUGGGCCCCCGCCGAGCCGGUACGCGUCCUCGUCGUCCUCCAUGGCGAGACGGUCGGGGGAGAAGAAGGCGAAGAGGCGUGGUAUGAGAGAGAGAGCGGAGGGUGGUUCAAAUUUUGGGCGCUGGGAGGGAAGGAUUCGGAAUGCUGGGGGUGGUGUGUGGCAAAUGAGGGCGGUGCCACCUGGACGACGAUGGAGAGAUUACUAGCUGCUGGAAUAACUAAGAAUUUCGGUAAUAAUACUGAUAAAAUAAAACACGCUCUUUCCUGCCACGAAGGGAUUUUGUUUUGGCAUGAAUUAAAAAAGUAGCAUUCUACGGCAAACAGAUGCAAGACAAAGCCCCAAAGGAUGAAGUAUUUUUUUGAAAUCCGUGUAGAUUGAUAAAUGAUAAAAGAUUGAACACUUUAAGAUAUAUACAAACGAAUGAAUAAUAAUAGAUGAUGAAGCACUUUGAGAUGCAUACAAAUAGAUAGAUAGCAUCAAAUGAAGUGUUUCAAGAUCUAUGCAGAUGGAUGGUUUAUAAAAAAUAUAGCACUUCGAGAUUUAUACAAGUAAAUAGUUGAUAGAAGAUGUAUUUUGAGAUCGAUGAAUAAUAAAAAAUGGAGUGCUUUCAGAUCUAUCCAAACAGAUCGAUGACANNNNNNNNNNNNNNNNNNNNNNNNNNNNNNNNNNNNNNNNNNNNNNNNNNNNNNNNNNNNNNNNNNNNNNNNNNNNNNNNNNNNNNNNNNNNNNNNNNNNNNNNNNNNNNNNNNNNNNNNNNNNNNNNNNNNNNNNNNNNNNNNNNNNNNNNNNNNNNNNNNNNNNNNNNNNNNNNNNNNNNNNNNNNNNNNNNNNNNNNNNNNNNNNNNNNNNNNNNNNNNNNNNNNNNNNNNNNNNNNNNNNNNNNNNNNNNNNNNNNNNNNAAAUCUAUACAUCUAUAUAUGAAUGAUAAAAAUCAAGUGCUUUGAGAUCCGUCCACUUUGAUGAUAGACAAUGGAGCACUUUUACAAUUUACACAUACGAAUGUGCGACAAAGGACGACAUGCAUUUAAGAUCUGCACAAGAGAAUGGAUGAUAGAAAAAUAGCAUUUUAAAAUCUGUGCAAGUGAAUUGAUGAUAGUGAAUAGAGUGCUUUAAGAUUUAUAUAAGCAAGCACAUAACAAUGAACGAAAUACAUUGGGAUAUAAAUAAAACACUUUGAGAUCUAUAUAAGCAAGUGAAUGAUCCAUAUAAAGAAUAAAAUGUUUUAAAAUCAAUGCAGGUGGCUAGAUGAUGAAAGAUGGAGCGCUUUAAAAUUCUAGAUGAACGACAAAUAAUGAAAUGCUCUAAAAACUAUAAUCACGGAUGAAUGCUAUAAAUGCACUUUCAGAUCACGCGAAAGCCACGAUAUGAUCUCUCUAAAUUGAGAAUAUUUUAUUUUUUUCUCGCUUCGUUAUCGAUGUAAGAAUCCACGGAAAUGAUUGGACCAAAAUGCAACAAUUUUAAAGUUUCGAUAGUUAAUUGAUACUUUCUAAACUUUUAGAUCUAAAUAUAAAUAGUCCAAAUUUAAAGAUGUGCUUAUGUAAGUUUUCCUACAAAACUUAAUAUUAUAGAAGUAAGAUUGCUCUAUCAUAACGGGAAGGUCACGGAUUCCAAACAUGAAAACCAUCUAUCCAUAUAUAGGGAUAAAGCUACAUAUAUGGUACACCAUAUGAUGAGGGCUGCCUUGUGCACCAGACUAUUCUUUUUUCAUUAACAAAUUUGAAGUCAAGUAGACCAAAACAAGUUAAAUUUGGGAGAAACAACAGGAAGGAAAAAGAAGAAAAAGAGGACAAAGGAAAAGCAGAAGAAACAAAUCUCAUAAGACUAAAUAAUUCUCAUAUGUUUUCCCCUCCUGCUAGUUUGAAAGCAUGAUAUCCUUACAGAACAUAAACUCUGAUUAAUCAGAGUACCAGAAAAUUCCUAUAACUCAUAAUUCUCUUUUUCAAAGAGCAUUGGAAAAUACAGAACUCCCCAUCAUUCCUGCAAGAUGAAAAGAUCCAAUCAUGAUAAUAACAAACAAUCAAGACCAAAUCCACAAGAAGAGACCAGUAUAUAUGCAGUUCAUUAAAUAUUUUUUCAAUCAGAUUCUAUCAUAAAAGUUCAAAAACCAUACAUAUAUGGGUGUCUUGCAGCAUGACUAGUCCAUGGAUGCUUUCGUUAGUAAUAUGCUUUCCGGGGAUUGUUCUGCAUUAUAAAAGAAAUUGUACCCAUAUGCUCAACAGUUGUCACAUGUGAUAAUACAAAACGAAAUAAGAUAAUAAACAGGGUUUACCAGCGGGUUUGGUCUAUAACGGUAACCAAGCAUCAUCCGCUUCUUGUACUGCUCAUAGAUGUCAUCAUCUGGUGCGACCUCGCCAGGUUCCUGUGCACCAACACCUAAAUUGUUCAAUUUGACAUUUCUUGCCAUCACAGGAUCUGCACGGCCACUUUUAUCGCUGCCAAGCCCCUCGCCUGCAUUCGAAACAAAUGUUAUAGCCAACAUACAAUCAUCAUAUAAUGUGAUAACACAAAAGGAUGACAGACUGUGGUGGAAAAUGACGGGAGCCUGUUCACUUAGCUUCCUGUAUGGAAAAAAUGAGGCACACCUAUUUAAGAACUAACAAAUAUAACCGGCACCUAAUAGCAUCAUCUAUGCUGCAAAUAAUGGCUAGCUCAAGAAUCCAGGACUGUCUAGAGCACAAUAAACUAUCACCAAGUUCAGAAAGCGUGAAUAACAUCAUAAUUUUACGAGUAGAGCACUUCUCAGCAUGGAAAAGCCAUGAAUCAACUGCCAAGUUGCAGCCACAAAGACAAGGGUGAUACCAUACAAGAGAUGGUCUUCAUAAGGCCAUAUCUAUCACCCAAGGUAAUCUUCGAAGUAGAUUAGGCUCCACUGGCAAAGGCAUAAAAGUAGCCAGUCCUUCAAGGUUUAGGCUCCAUGAGCGAAAGUCCAAAGAAAUUAACAACACAAUCAUUGAUAUUACCUUCUUUCCAGCCCAUCUUUGAUAAAAGCUUGUGUCCAAUAUUGUCAGCCUGGAUUUUAUCCUUCUCAGCAGCCUCUCUAGCAGCUCUCUGUGCAGCAGCAUCAUUGCAUGAAGCCAGAAACUUCUCCAGCUCGUCUGGUGGAAUGUAGUCACCCAUGUGAUGGCCCUUCUUGCCAGGAGCUGCAAAACCGGAAAAAAAAACCUUAAAAGCUCUAGCUAAUAUUAGUGCCCUUUUCUUGCGCCUAUUGGUGAACUAUAUAGAUAAUAAAAUAAUCAUCAGAGCUACAAACUUUCAAUGAGUCCUAAAUCAGAAAAGGAGAGGGGUAGCUUUAACAUUGGAAAUUUCGAACUCAACCACAUAUUAGUCAGUUUUAUGCCAUGCAAGAAUAUAUAAUAUCAGAACGAAACUUAAAAAAAAAAAAAGAUGAGAAAGUAAGACCUUGAAGAGAAGCAGGUGGUGGCAUUUCAUCUUUCGACUGCUUCGGUUGCCUCCUUCGUUCUUCUUCUGCAGCUUUCUUCAUGUAAAAUUCCAUCAUUGCUAUAGGAUCUGAAGCUAGAGGUCCACUGGAUUCACCUGUAAGCAAGCAUGCCCAAUGCAAUCCGCAUUCAGGGGACAAUUUGAAGGUCAAACUUAUUAAAAAUCAAUGCGUAGAUACUUCAUUCCGGUGAUAUUUUUUCUAAUCCACAGACCACACAACCCAUUAAAGAGGUCAUUUAGUUUCUAAAACUACAUAAUUCAACAAGAUGUGGUCAAUCUACACACAACUUUCAGAUCCAUUUGACGACAUGAACAUGAAAAGCUGCAUAAAGCUUUCAACCUACAUGAACAACAAAGUGCAUUUUUUGAAACUAGAUUUAUAACAAAUAGUGAGUAUGAUCUGUUUUAUGAGGAAUACAGAGAAAAGUUGCUGGCUCCUCAUCCUAUCUCAAACUGGUGAGGGCCAGUGUUACCCAGACAAGGGGCACAGGUAUCAAACAUCCAUGUGCCCAAGAAUCUGACACGGAAAGAUUAAAAAACUUGGCCACGCAGACACUGCUGCACAAGUUAAUUAUAUAUACAAUGCAUGCAUAUUAUGUGUCUACAUAUGUCGAAUUUAUUUCAAAUCAUUUUGAGAAUUAACUUGUGUGGAAUUCAAAAUAUUCAGACUACAUUUAAGCAACAGUUUCUUUUAAGGACUUUUCUCUCUAUAGUCUCCACACCCCCAAGACCAUAGGGCACCAGAUAAGAGCAUAGGCUACACCCUUACACUCAAUUACAGGUUCCCUCAGCCCCUCAAGAACCAAUCGGGAGUUAAAAGCACUGGAACCAUUGCCAUGGCAUUAGGAGGAACAAGCAUGCAUGCCCUUGCAGAUAAGCAGACCCACAAAACAAAAAUUAGGCUGAGAAUAGGACAGACCUUUAGAAGAAUACAGGCUGAACAAGUCAACAUACCCAAUUUCUGCUGGAUUUCCUAAAUAGGCCCUUACCAAUAUUUAAAAACCUGAGCAUGAUAGAACUACCAAUCCAAAAAAUUAUCCUCAUGUGCAUAAACCAGGUUAUAAUAGAGUAGAAAUAGAAUAAAAAUCCACUGCAAAUUAAAUAUCAGAAAAGGUAAAGGGGGCCAGCAACUGAAUGAAAAGGAAGAUAUAGAGCAUGCUCAACCAACUACACAUUCCAGAAUUUUGUCAUCCAGAAUCUGAGAUACGUGUUCCCUACUGAUCAACAUAUAAAUCUAAAAGAGAAAAAAGAGAGGUUUUCUUCGUGGUUAGCCAUGUCAAGAAUAGUCUUUAGACCGCUAGACUGAAGUCUGAUACACAAUUGCUGGGAACUAGGUGAAAAAAAUAUUACUGCCCAAUUCCGGAUUCCCAAAAUUGCAAUCUGGUCCACGUUAGAUGCAACUCACCAAGCUUCUGAUGAGUCACUUUCGUCAAAGGAAAGAUCAAAGUUAUCUAGAAGUAAUAUAAAUCGCAAUUUUGCAAUUAUCUUUUAUUUUAACAAAUGGUAUAUAAUAAUCAACAGUAGAAAUUAUGCAAUAAGAAACAAAUAUGGAAAUUUAGAUUUUGUAGCGAGACAGCUAGUCAUGAUGUGAUUCUGUAAUCAAGCGAAAAAACAUGUCAAAUAAUUUCCCUGCUAAGAAAAACAUAUCUUCAAUUUCCAAACAAGAAUCAACCUAUUUAAUUUCAUAAAGAAAAAUAUCACUCUCCAAUGGUCAUUAGUACAGUUACACAAGAAAAUAAUGUUACUUAAGUACCUCUCUACCUCAACCAGCACACACCAACUUGACAGACAUUCAAAUGAAAGAACAGUAAUAGCUCUCAUGCAGUUCAACCAAUAAUUGUUGGGAUAUCAUACAGCUAGAAUAUUUCCAUUAGUGCCUCUAAAAACGCCAACCUCAUUAACUUGCAAGCAAAAUGCCAAAUUCAGUGGCAGCUAAUUUAUGAAAACCACAUUAGAACUAGCACAAAAUGAAAUCUUAAAUGUACAAUAGAUUUAUCCAAGGAUGUCGAUUGAAACAAUUAAUCAAAUAAAAGAUGGUAAAGGGUAUACCAUGACUGGAGACUGUUCCUGCAGAUGCCAACUCCUCGUAAGUCCCAUAUAAUGCCGAAGCAGGAGUUUGGUAAUCAGAAUGUUGUUGGGUGUUGCUCCUUUGAGAACCACUUGAUGUUCUAGACGUUGAAGCACUUGCAUUAGCUGUCAAAAAGAGAAGGUUAGAACUCUGAAGUCACUACCUAAAUAUAUUAGAUUGCAUUCAGGCCCGAAAACUCUUCUCUUCUGUCUUCAAAUUGAAGAAGCUACUCAGAAUUUGGAAAAGAUAUAAGUCGUAGGCUACACUAACCAGCUUGUGAUGCCUGGGACUCUUUCAACUGUGCAAGGGCCUUUUCUUCCUCAAGAAGCUGAAACUCAUAGUAUUUAUAAUCUGGACAGCUUGAAUCGAACAAAAAUCUGCAAAGCACGCAAUGUCAGUAAAAAUCAUUAAAAUACUAGAUGAAAAAAAAAUCCAGAUUCAUAGGACAUAAAAGACUACAUCCCACACACAAUAUCUUAGCCAUUAAACAUCAUGCUCAUUUAAGAUGGUCUGCUAAAGAAGAUCUGGUAGGUCUGAAAGUCUGAUAAUAGCAUAAAAAGACCUAUGAAGAAGCUCUUAAGAUAAAGUUAUGCAGAAGAUCAACUGCUCACAGAAUUAUCACAGAAUCAGAUAGGCAAGCACCAAAUCCAUUUUUUGUGCAGGAUCAAAUGUUCUUAAAACUACAAUAAAACACGUAACACAUCCCCAAAUCCAAUUUUUAUCCACAACUGGCUCCUGAAAGAAAGACCCACAAAGUAUGCUGCUUCAGAACUAGAGGACUAGGCUGCAUCCCUGCUGGUGUCCACAUACAUGAAGAAGCUUUAACCAAUGGGCAUGGAAGUGAUAGGACUGUUUGACCAUUGAAUCAUGUUGAAGGUGAACCACUUGCAGCAAGUUCUUGAUCAUCAGCAGAUCCUGAGAAUGGAUCAAGGUGUCUUGCCAUACUGAGAUAAUCAUGUCAUCAGAUUAUGUGAAGGCACUUGCUGCCAAUUCAUUUAAGGCUUGCUAACAAUGUAAUCUAGUAAUAUAUUUUCCGGAUUUAAACCCAAAGAUUCUUUUCUCCUGUCAAUUAUCAAUAUUUUGUGAAAAAAAACUGAAGUCAAACCUCCUGCAUAAAUUAAAGAAACUAUUUUCCCACAGCACCUUAAAUCCUCUAACUUUCAAGACAUUCCAUUAUAACUCAAUGUUUUCUUCUUUAGUUUGUCCCAAACUUGUCAAGGCAGAGUUUUCGGCUGAUCAAGCACAUCAAAACCCUAAAACCUAUUCCCAUAUCCCAUAGCCAUUCUAUCAUAAUGCAUGUGAACAAAGAUUAGUUUGAAUUCUACGAAUAAGCAUAAAGGACUAGGAAAAAUCUCUUUAGAGUUCAAUAUUACGGCCCUUCCUUGUGAUCCCUGUCAAGCAAGUGUGGCCCCCUUCCAAUAUAAUGAGAUUUAUCCAAGUACUAAAUAACCAAUUAACCAAUGUAUCCCGAUCAACCCACCUUUUCAGAAAGUAGGACCCUUCUAUUAGGUUCCUUGAAUAGAAAGGAGAGAGACAAAGAGAGUAUGGAGAGAAGGGAGUAGUUUGUCAUAAUUAAAAUGGGAAAUUAAGAGAAAGAAUGGAACAUGGCAGUUAACUAGGAAGAGAGGAGAGGAGGGAUGAUAGCAUGGCAGAGAAGUGGUGGCAUGGCAGUAAAUAAGAAACAAGUAGAGAGAAAGGUCUAGGCAUUUUACCUUUCUCUAUCACCUUUCUGAAAUAGCACAUCACAUCUAACUAUAGCUGGAUUCGAUUAGAAAUAUUUGAAAAUUAAGUUAUAUUAGUAUUAAAUUAGAUUUUACACAGAACAGUCUUCACAGAGCAAGGAGAGGAGGGAGGGGGGGAGGGAGAGAGGGAGAGGGGGAGAGAGAGAGAAAGGGAAGGGGGACGGAGAGGCUAUGUUGCACAUAGAAUCAAGUGGUGCAGUGAAUAGAGGGAGGAAAGAUCUUCUCAGCAUCAAGAAUGGCUACUAGGUUUUUCAUCUUUUAGAAUUAUUCUCCUAACACACCUUUUUUGUUGAUUCUUCUGGCUCAAUUUCACUUGCCUCCAGUCUAAAAAAAUUCAACUGCUUGUAUGCACAUAUAUUAAAAUAUUUCAUCAUAUUUCAGCAACGUUAGAAACUACAAUUUUUGUUACCUAAAUUCUCAAAUCUAAAGAAAAAAUUAAAGUAUUGUCGAGCUUCUUUCAUGGAUAUAGUGCACAAAUUAAUAUAUAUUAUAUAUUUUUGGUGAAUAAAAUUUUGACUCGUUCCAUCCUGGAGCAUACCAGAAAUUGAGCACUUUUUUCCUAGCAAAUAAGCACCAGCAUGCAUGAAGUUAAGACUCUUGAGAACUGGAUCUCAUGUAGCACUAGAUAUAUUUUUAAUCUGCAAGAAUAUCUCAUCCUUUUGAUGAAUUCUCCUCACUGACAUCAUAACUGACUUUGCCCCUUAAUACACAUACAGAUUCAAAAAAAAAAAAAACACAAACUGAACGAGUUAGCAUACAAGGAAAUGCAGAUAGAAAAAAAUAAAGGACCACUAUAUGAUCUAUUCGAGUCGAUGUCUUUUAAGGAACGUGCUCCAAAAAGGGAUACUGUGACUGUUCUUUCUUUAUAAAAGAAAUUAAGAUAAUUUACCAUUGUUGCCGAAUACUACUCAUCAACAAUGCAUUACUAAUAGCAAAUAGACAAGAAUUAAUUUUAAAGUAGCUCCCUAUAACAACAGUUUAAAUCUACCAUGCAGAGACAUCAGGUCUGUUGUAAAAGCACACUUCAUAGGAAAACAUUUUAUUGUAUCUGCAUAGACAUUGUAUGAAAGCAUACAUACUUGAAAGGCGUAUCUCCAGGAUUCCUCUGGCGUGUGAUGUGCUCAAACUGCCUACCAUUUUUUGCAACAAAACUUGCUAAUUUGUCAGCAACUUUCCUCACUGCAGGAUCGCUUGGGGGAUAUGGUGCUGCAUGUCACUUAAAGAACUCAUUAAUACCAAGAGCAUGAACAAGGGAAUGCAAAUAACUGUUGUAGCAGGCGUGCCACAUUUUUCCAAUUCUUUCAAUCAACAUCUCUUUCCACCAAGGUUGAUAGAUAUUUAAGAUACAGGCUGCAUUCAUGAGACAAAGAACCUUCAAGAACACUUAACACAGAUCAUACAUGUGAUAGAAACACUUCUUGUGCAAUGGUGCAAUGAAAGCAACUCCUGAAACUGAAAAAUGAUAUUCUCAUAGUAAAGUAAUAAUUUUGAAUGUGCAUGCAAACCUGCCAAGCAUCCGAGAUGCUCCCUCAAUUUUUCGGUAAAAUAUCGACCAAUUUGGGCUGUUCUACUGAAUAUACAAGAUAUGAAUCUAAUAUUAAGGGUAGGAUAAAAUCAGAAAAUGUUGCUGAAUUAUGCAACAAUGAUCAUCUGAAUUUGGCAACUAUAGAUCACAUGGAAGACAAGGCCUGGUAGGGUUCAGGCUCUUGCAUAUUUCAGCACACCAGCUACUCUUACUGGAUCACCAUGAGAAACUUACAACCCUGGUGGUUGAUGCUAAAGGGCGUUUUAAUUACACUAAUAGAAUCUGCAGCUUGAAAAGUGCUUACCGAGCUUGGAAAGGAAAAGAUUGAAGUAGCAGAACAGGAAGGUUGGUCCCCUGUGCACUUCCCAGUCCUUUUUGGUCAGUAUAUUAGCAUAGAGAAAACAAUUCUGCUUUCUUUCCAGAUAAAUGCCAGUAGGUGACUUCUAGAUUUGUUAGACCUUAAGAAAAAAUAGUUAAACUGAUGAAAGGGAAAAGGGUAAUGGGUUGCUAGCUCCUUUAACUAAAGCAUCUACAAUUUCUCAAAGAGAAUACUGAAGGCCGACCGACAAUUCAUGCAGUGAAAACUAUAUUCAGUAGCAAGAAACUAAAUACCUACUGAAUUCUAAGGCGCUACAGUCCAAAGAUGAAUAUUAACCAUCAAUGUAACAAAUAAUCAGAUAGAAUUGAGCUUGUGAUGCCUGGGACUCUUUCAACUGUGCAAGCGCCUUUUCUUCCUCAAGAAGCUGAAACUCAUAGUAUUUAUAAUCUGGACAGCUUGAAUCAAACAAAAAUUUGAAAGGCGUAUCUCCAGGAUUCCUCUGGCGUGUGAUGUGCUCAAACUGCCUACCAUUUUUUGCAACAAAACUUGCUAAUUUGUCAGCAACUUUCCUCACUGCAGGAUCGCUUGGGGGAUAUGGUGCUGCAUGUCACUUAAAGAACUCAUUAAUACCAAGAGCAUGAACAAGGGAAUGCAAAUAACUGUUGUAGCAGGCGUGCCACAUUUUUCCAAUUCUUUCAAUCAACAUCUCUUUCCACCAAGGUUGAUAGAUAUUUAAGAUACAGGCUGCAUUCAUGAGACAAAGAACCUUCAAGAACACUUAACACAGAUCAUACAUGUGAUAGAAACACUUCUUGUGCAAUGGUGCAAUGAAAGCAACUCCUGAAACUGAAAAAUGAUAUUCUCAUAGUAAAGUAAUAAUUUUGAAUGUGCAUGCAAACCUGCCAAGCAUCAGAGAUGCUCCCUCAAUUUUUCGGUAAAAUAUCGACCAAUUUGGGCUGUUCUACUGAAUAUACAAGAUAUGAAUCUAAUAUUAAGGGUAGGAUAAAAUCAGAAAAUGUUGCUGAAUUAUGCAACAAUGAUCAUCUGAAUUUGGCAACUAUAGAUCACAUGGAAGACAAGGCCUGGUAGGGUUCAGGCUCUUGCAUAUUUCAGCACACCAGCUACUCUUACUGGAUCACCAUGAGAAACUUACAACCCUGGUGGUUGAUGCUAAAGGGCGUUUUAAUUACACUAAUAGAAUCUGCAGCUUGAAAAGUGCUUACCGAGCUUGGAAAGGAAAAGAUUGAAGUAGCAGAACAGGAAGGUUGGUCCCCUGUGCACUUCCCAGUCCUUUUUGGUCAGUAUAUUAGCAUAGAGAAAACAAUUCUGCUUUCUUUCCAGAUAAAUGCUAGUAGGUGACUUCAAGAUUUGUUAGACCUUAAGAAAAAUAGUUAAACUGAUGAAAGGGAAAAGGGUAAUGGGUUGCUAGCUCCUUUAACUAAAGCAUCUACAAUUUCUCAAAGAGAAUACUGAAGGCCGACCGACAAUUCAUGCAGUGAAAACUAUAUUCAGUAGCAAGAAACUAAAUACCUACUGAAUUCUAAGGCGCUACAGUCCAAAGAUGAAUAUUAACCAUCAAUGUAACAAAUAAUCAGAUAGAAUUGUAGACACAGAAUUAAAUUUUCCCAGGAAUAAUUGAUUUGAUGUUAUUGUAAAUAUUGACGGCCAUUUCUGAAAUACUGGUCAGCAAUCCCUUGCAUCAUUGAACAUAGAUGAGUUUUUAAUAAGCAUGAAAAAAGCAUAACCAGUAUCAAAGAAAACAUUAUAUAAGAACACAUCAUAUAUAAAAAGGAUGAAGCAUUAGCAUGGUCUCCUAUACAAAUCCUCUAUGCAAAAAGCAACUUAGAAGAAAGUCAGCUUCACAUGGAAUCCAUUUAAAGCCCGUAUCGCGUUCAGAGAGAGAGAAAGAGGAGAGAGGAAGGGAGGGGAAGGAGAAUAAUAUUUUUGUAGCUGCAUAUCUACAUCUAGCAUCACACCUACAAAGACUGAAUAAAUAAAACAAUAUAAAUUAUAAUAUACCAAUAGAAGAAGAACCAUUUAUGUAUCAAAAAAAGAUGGGAAAAGAAAUAUUUGACAAGCUUAAUCCAGAACAACCCCCACCCCCACUAUGGCAAAAAUAAAUUAAAAAAAAGGUAAUAGAGAAAGGUUUGUGAAUCAGCCACCUCAACCAAUUUACAUUUAUAAGCAUAUGCACGCACUCAUGCAAAAAUUGAAAGUAAUAGAAAAAGGCUUUUCAUCAAAUUGAAUAUAAGUAAAAGAACCAGUUGCAUAUUUUAUAUUGGUUCCCAUAUCUCUUUUCUUGUUUAGGGGCGUUUUGUGUACCAGCUUCCAUGUAAGAGUCAAUAUAAAAUAGUAGCACCUAAGGGAGCUUGACAUAUAAUAAAGCAAAAUAUUCUAAAAUUUCAUUACUUAAGAUAAAGUAAACAAUCAGCAAUUACCGCAUAUUAACAAUAAUGUAAAAAUACUAAAGCUUUCCUAACCCGCAAUUGCAGCAUAUAACAAACAUGAAAACAGGUAAUUACCAAC